GCAGCCGCCGCGGGAAUACCGAGGGUGCAAGCGUUAAUCGGAAUUACUGGGCGUAAAGCGCGCGUAGGUGGUUUGUUAAGUUGGAUGUGAAAUCCCCGGGCUCAACCUGGGAACUGCAUCCAAAACUGGCAAGCUAGAGUAUGGUAGAGGGUGGUGGAAUUUCCUGUGUAGCGGUGAAAUGCGUAGAUAUAGGAAGGAACACCAGUGGCGAAGGCGACCACCUGGACUGAUACUGACACUGAGGUGCGAAAGCGUGGGGAGCAAACAGGAUUAGAUACCCCGGUAGUCCCUGUCUCUUAUAA
rnacentral:rRNA from 1 species